rnacentral:rRNA from 1 species
UACAGAGGUCUCAAGCGUUGUUCGGAUUCAUUGGGCGUAAAGGGUGUGUAGGUGGCGCGCUAAGUCGGGUGUGAAAUUUCGGAGCUUAACUCCGAAACUGCAUUCGAUACUGGCGUGCUUGAGGACUGGAGAGGAGACUGGAAUUCAUGGUGUAGCAGUGAAAUGCGUAGAGAUCAUGAGGAAGACCAGUGGCGAAGGCGGGUCUCUGGACAGUUCCUGACACUGAGACACGAAGGCCAGGGGAGCAAGCGGG